GAUGAAGAACGUAGCGAAAUGCGAUACGUAAUGUGAAUUGCAGAAUUCAGUGAAUCAUCGAGUCUUUGAACGCACAUUGCACCCUUUGGCAUUCCGAAGGGUAUGCUCGUUUGAGUGUCAUUGUACUCUCACACUCUCCGAUCCUAUGGAUUCGGGGAGCGGUGGACUUGGGUGUUGCUGCCUUUCCUUGUGGCUCACCUCAAAUGUGUCAGUGCACCUCUUGGUUGGACAUAGUACGGCGUGAUAAGUGUCUUCGCCGGCACCUCGCAAGAGGGUGGCCGAUCGGGAGCUCUGUGCUUUCAAACCGUCUUCGGACAAUUUCUGACAACUUGACCUCAAAUCGAGUAGGACUACCCGCUGAACUUAAGCAUAUCAAUAAGCGGAGGA
rnacentral:misc_RNA from 1 species